GAGUUUGAUCAUGGCUCAGAUUGAACGCUGGCGGCAUGCCUUACACAUGCAAGUCGAACGGCAGCACGGGAGCUUGCUCCUGGGUGGCGAGUGGCGAACGGGUGAGUAAUGCAUCGGAACGUAUCCUGGAGUGGGGGAUAACGUAGCGAAAGUUACGCUAAUACCGCAUAUUCUGUGAGCAGGAAAGCGGGGGACCUUCGGGCCUCGCGCUCUUGGAGCGGCCGAUGUCGGAUUAGCUAGUUGGUGAGGUAAAGGCUCACCAAGGCGACGAUCCGUAGCAGGUCUGAGAGGAUGAUCUGCCACACUGGAACUGAGACACGGUCCAGACUCCUACGGGAGGCAGCAGUGGGAAUUUUGGACAAUGGGGGCAACCCUGAUCCAGCCAUGCCGCGUGAGUGAAGAAGGCCU
rnacentral:rRNA from 2 species